GCGCUAUUUGUCCCGAGGGCAGAGAGAAUUCGCUUGGUCUCAUCCGGGACUUGCUGAGCAUCACGACGCCAGGCAUUCCUGUUGCCGGGUGUUGUACGGUCCCGGGAUGUGGGCGGAGCUGGCCGCAGGUCUGGUCCUGCAGGACAGAGCCAGAGGACAGAGCACUGGCCUCCAGGAGUGGGGAUGGAUGCCGGACCUGAAGUUCCUGGUCUGUUCUGGCUGACCCUGGCUGGAGUUGCCCCAAGAGCCACAGCAGGAGAGGUAGGUAGCCCUGGAGAAUUCUCCAAAUCAUCCUAAGAAGGAGCUGGGAUGUCAGUGAUGCUAAGUGCCAAGCAAGCAAGUAGUGAGGGCAGAGCUGCAGUGUGCUCCUGAGGCAGAGAGCAAGAAGUAUAGGAUGGUCUUCCUGGUGUAUCCUGUGGUCCAGGGUAGGGGGUGGGGUGCUGUUGACUUUAUGUGGAACAAGUUUCUUUCAGUGUUUUGGACUGUGACUUGAAUCCAAGCUGGCAGAGAAAGCUGCAGCUCUCCUGCCCAGAGUGGAACAAGUUUCUUUCAGUGUUUUGGACUGUGACUUGAAUCCAAGCUGGCAGAGAAAGCUGCAGCUCUCCUGCCCAGAGUGGUCAAAUCGUCUGAGUCAGGACACAGGGAGAAGGAGGUGCCGGGAGCCUUACAGCUUCUCGUGCAACUGAGACUACACCAUCAGUCUAGUCAGCUAUCCCAUCCUUGCGUUUACCUAGGAAACAUAGACCUGUGUGAAAGGACAUGAGCAGCCUCCCCAGCUACCGGGAGCUCCUGGCUCAGAAUGUGUUGAAAAGCAGUGGUAGAUGUGGCUUAUGCUCACUUCAUUAGAUGUCUGGCACUAGAUACCUGGCACUUUCCAGCAUGGCCCUUAACACUGCUGGGCUGCUGGAGGCUAGCUCUAGGACUGCAGGCUGUACCUCCUGUUAGCAUACUUGUCUAAACACCCUACAGUUACCUGGCAACAACCAGGUAUGCUCCUCCCCACAGUUACCUGGCAACAGCCAGGUAGGCCUGACCCUCUAUAAAAGGGGCUGUUUGCCCCCUCCUCCCUCUCUUGUUCUCUUGCUCUCUCUUGCUCCCCCCCUCUCCCCAUUC
rnacentral:lncRNA from 1 species